CCUACGGGAGGCAGCAGUGGGGAAUAUUGCACAAUGGGCGCAAGCCUGAUGCAGCAACGCCGCGUGAAGGAAGACGGUUUUCGGAUUGUAAACUUCUGUUCUUAGUGAAGAAUAAUGACGGUAGCUAAGGAGCAAGCCACGGCUAACUACGUGCCAGCAGCCGCGGUAAUACGUAGGUGGCAAGCGUUGUCCGGAAUUACUGGGUGUAAAGGGAGCGCAGGCGGGUGAUCAAGUCAGCUGUGAAAACUAUGGGCUUAACCCGUAGACUGCAGUUGAAACUGUUCAUCUUGAGUGAAGUAGAGGUUGGCGGAAUUCCGAGUGUAGCGGUGAAAUGCGUAGAUAUUCGGAGGAACACCGGUGGCGAAGGCGGCCAACUGGGCUUUAACUGACGCUGAGGCUCGAAAGUGUGGGGAGCAAACAGGAUUAGAUACCCUGGUAGUCCACACCGUAAACGAUGAUUACUAGGUGUUGGAGGAUUGACCCCUUCAGUGCCGCAGUUAACACAAUAAGUAAUCCACCUGGGGAGUACGACCGCAAGGUUGAAACUCAAAGGAAUUGACGGGGGCCCGCACAAGCAGUGGAUUAUGUGGUUUAAUUCGAAGCAACGCGAAGAACCUUACCAGGGCUUGACAUCCAACUAACGAAGCAGAGAUGCAUUAGGUGCCCUUCGGGGAAAGUUGAGACAGGUGGUGCAUGGUUGUCGUCAGCUCGUGUCGUGAGAUGUUGGGUUAAGUCCCGCAACGAGCGCAACCCUUAUUGUUAGUUGCUACGCAAGAGCACUCUAGCGAGACUGCCGUUGACAAAACGGAGGAAGGUGGGGACGACGUCAAAUCAUCAUGCCCCUUAUGACCUGGGCUACACACGUAAUACAAUGGCGGUCAACAAAGGGAUGCAAAGCCGCGAGGCAGAGCGAACCCCAAAAAGCCGUCCCAGUUCGGAUCGCAGGCUGCAACCCGCCUGCGUGAAGUCGGAAUCGCUAGUAAUCGCGGAUCAGCAUGCCGCGGUGAAUACGUUCCCGGGCCUUGUACACACCGCCCGUCACACCAUGGGAGCCGGUAAUACCCGAAGUCAGUAGUCCAACCUCGUGAGGACGCUGCCGAAGGUAGGAUUGGCGACUGGGGUGAAGUCGUAACAAGGUAGCCGUAUCGGAAGGUGCGGCUG
rnacentral:rRNA from 1 species